rnacentral:rRNA from 1 species
AGCAGCCGCGGUAAUUCCAGCUCCAAUAGCGUAUAUUAAAGUUGUUGCAGUUAAAAAGCUCGUAGUUGAACUUCAGGCCUGUCCAGAUGGUCCGCCUUAAUUGGUGUGUACUGUCCUUGGGUGGGUCCUACCUUCUGGCGAAGCGGCAUGGCCUUAAUUGGUUGUGUUGGGGAACCAGGACUUUUACUGUGAAAAAAUUAGAGUGUUCAAAGCAGGCAAAUAUGCUCGAAUACAUUAGCAUGGAAUAAUGGAAUAGGACGAUGGUUCUAUUUUGUUGGUUCUAGGACCGUUGUAAUGAUUAAUAGGGAUAGUUGGGGGCAUUAGUAUUCAAUUGUCAGAGGUGAAAUUCUUGGAUUUAUUGAAGACUAACUACUGCGAAAGCAUUUGCCAAGGAUGUUUUCAUUAAUCAAGAACGAAAGUUAGGGGAUCGAAGACGAUCAGAUACCGUCGUAGUCUUAACCAUAAACUAUGCCGACUAGGAAUCGGGCGAUGUUGACAAAAUGACUCGCUCGGCACCUCAUG